rnacentral:rRNA from 1 species
AUACGGAGGGUGCGAGCGUUAAUCGGAAUUACUGGGCGUAAAGCGUGCGUAGGCGGUUUGCUAAGUCAGAUGUGAAAGCCCCGGGCUUAACCUGGGAACUGCAUUUGAUACUGGCAGACUAGAGUAUGAUAGAGGGGGGUAGAAUUCCUGGUGUAGCGGUGAAAUGCGUAGAUAUCAGGAGGAAUACCAGUGGCGAAGGCGGCCCCCUGGAUCAAUACUGACGCUGAGGUACGAACGCGUGGGGAGCGAACAGGAUUAGAAACCCUAGUAGUCC